rnacentral:rRNA from 1 species
AGAGUUUGAUCAUGGCUCAGGACGAACGCUAGCGGCGUGCCUAAGAAAUGCAAGUCGAGCGAGGUUAGAGAGCUUGCUCUCGAAGCCUAGCGGCGAACGGUCGCGUAACACGUAAGCAACCUGCCCCAAAGCGGGGGAUAGCCCUCCGAAAGGAGGAUUAAUACCGCAUGUGGAUGGUUCUUCGCAUGUAGAAUCAUCUAAAGCAGCAAUGCACUUUGGGAUGGGCUUGCGGCCUAUCAGCUAGUUGGCGAGGUAACGGCUCACCAAGGCGACGACGGGUAGCUGGUCUGAGAGGAUGGUCAGCCGGACUGGGACUGAGAUACGGCCCAGACUCCUACGGGGGGCAGCAAUUAGGAAUCUUGCGCAAUGGGCGAAAGCCUGACGCAGCGACGCCGCGUGACUGAUGAAGUCUUUCGGGAUGUAAAGGUCUUUUUUGGGGGAAGAAGGAUGUGACGGUACCCCAAGAAUAAGCCCCGGCUAACUACGUGCCAGCCGCCGCGGUAAUUC